rnacentral:rRNA from 1 species
AGCGAACGCUGGCGGCAGGCCUAACACAUGCAAGUCGAACGAAGUCUUCGGACUUAGUGACGGACGGGUGAGUAACACGUGGGAACGUGCCUUUAGGUUCGGAAUAACUCAGGGAAACUUGUGCUAAUACCGAAUGUGCCCUUCGGGGGAAAGAUUUAUCGCCUUUAGAGCGGCCCGCGUCUGAUUAGCUAGUUGGUGAGGUAAAGGCUCACCAAGGCGACGAUCAGUAGCUGGUCUGAGAGGAUGAUCAGCCACAUUGGGACUGAGACACGGCCCAAACUCCUACGGGAGGCAGCAGUGGGGAAUCUUGCGCAAUGGGCGAAAGCCUGACGCAGCCAUGCCGCGUGAAUGAUGAAGGUCUUAGGAUUGUAAUAUUCUUUCACCGGGGACGAUAAUGACGGUACCCGGAGAAGAAGCCCCGGCUAACUUCGUGCCAGCAGCCGCCGUAAAAC